UAGAGGCCCACAGGUGAAGGAAGAUUUUUGGCCUGCACUUCCACAGCUGGUAAACAUGGAUUGUGGUGGGCUAGUGACAGAAUGAAGAAGAUCAGUUUAAAAUGUGCUUUACAACCAGAGGUUGCAUUAUUUUGACAGACAAGGGCUGUAAGAAAAUUGUCAAAAUCAAUAAUAAUAUGAGCCAACAGCCAAACAAUAACAACUAAACUCAAUCAACUAUCUUAAUCUGCCUGAACUCAAAUCUUGUGGUCUAUAAAGUGGGAGUUUAUCUGUGUGUAAUUCAACCAUCAUGUUAGACUGAAGGAAUUGCAGUUAUCAUUAGAUUUCCCGACAGCACUGGACAAAUGACUUCUCACACUCAGUGUGACUUGAGACAAAGGAUAAACAAAGACAUUGAGUAUGUUUACAUGCACAUAAUAAGAGGACAAUUAUCUUAUUAUGAUAUUAUAAAAAUCAGCUUAUAACAUUAACAUGUUUCAAGCGUUUUAAUUUACUUUUAUUUGUGAAGUUUAUCUAUCACAGGUGGAGACAUACGCACAUACGAAACGGCAAAAAAGACGUUAAAAUCUGGUUUAAGAGCAAAAAAACUACCUGUGCCAAUCAGUUUUUGCCAUUUAUGGGCUUUACCCUAUAAAAGAAAACCAUUUUAUGCAUUUAAAUGACCUUACACGUUAUCAGUUUAUUAAGCGUUUAGACUAUGUAGACACACUCACUGUGCACUAAAAUUAAAAAAAUUGGUUAACACGACCACUCGUGGUGGCUUCACUCAGAGGUUGGAGAAGACAACCGGUGGACUAAACAUCAAGCCUCUGCACGAUUCAGGUAAGUGGAAUAAAAUACAUUGUAAAUAAACAUUAUUAAAACAGAUUGUGAAGUCAUUCAUUCAAAACUUGCUAUGACCUAAGCCUAAAUGACUUAAUUUCUUUUUAGAAUUAAGACAACCUUAGCAGGAGAGCCCCAGCAGUAACUUUCUCUCAAGCAGAUGAGCAAUAAGUUGCUAACACCACCCUAACAAUCAAGUAGCCUGUUAACAGUAGACCAAAGGUAUGAUGAUCAAUUAUAAAUGCAAUAUGGUUGAAAGGUCAGUAAACAAACAACAAAAAGGUAAUUUCUUAAUAGAAUGUCUAUACAUUUUUUGCUUUUGUUACAUAUUUCAUACAUCAAAAUCAUUAAACGUUAAUAAUUAUGUAUUCCAACUUGUUGCAGCUUGACAAAAAUGUAGCUUGAAGGAGAAGGGACAGCUGAGUAACAAAGUCCUGGUAUGCAGACGACGAUACUAUUACACUGACAAGAGUGUAAUGAUGAUGGAGACACAAGCCAGAGAAAGGGGGGACCAAACACCAGGCCAGAAUUCUGCAUGAGUCAGAUCCAGUGGGUGCAGAUCAUCAUACAGAUGGUUCAAGUGUGGAUCCACCUAAUAUUCAAGAUUUUCUGUCCUGGGACACUCGGCUAACCAUCAAGAAAGAACACACUCCAGUGGGCAUCCUUUAUCCAUCCAGACCCUCAUACAGAUGGUUGGAGUUUUGAUUCACCUA